rnacentral:piRNA from 1 species
UAUCUCUUCUUAUGGACCAAGGAUAUG